AGUCUGCAGGCAGCAAGGCAGUUACGAGGUCUUUUCCCAGGACUGCUGUUGGUUUGCUGUAUCCUUACUUGUGUGGGGAAAAAACCAAAUUAGCAGGAGUAGAAAAGAAAAGAUGGGCAGGGAGGUGAAUGGCAGAUGGAGAGUCAAACAUUUGACUUUGGUUACUCCACCUGUGCUGCUAAUCCUGGCCAUGAUUAAAUACUGUAAAGCUCACUUAUCUUACAUUGUGUUUUUAACUGUUUCAACCAAAAGAGUAAAUUCUUACUUCAUUAUUCCUUUUUUAACUUAAGGGCUUCACAGCUAUAGGUAACAUAUGAAGUGAGUACAUUUUAAAGCACAAACCAGAUGAAGAGAGAAAAGCGCACACACAUGCAUACACACAUACUGACACAUAUAUAUUUAUAAAUUAUGGUGUUUUUAAAGCAUUUGUCUAAACUGGUCUGAGCUACACCCUGGUUUUUUUUCUUGAUAGAUUUUACCCUGGUCAAUACCUGUUUGCCAGUUCAUCCUGGUACAGUCCAUUCUGAAGGUGUAAAUACCCUCUUAUAAUGAUGAUAUGUUGGAUGGCUUUUUGUCAUCUUAAUAUUUGCAUGAAUAAUUGCUCCUGCAUAAGAUCACCAUGUGUUGACAUAAAAGCAAUUAUGAUGGGAGCGUAGCUGUGCUGGAGCCGGCAGCAUGACACAAAGAGGCAAAAUCUGUCCUUGUUCUAUUGGAUGCUUUAAAAGCAUGUUCCCACACGUUGCUUUUUCGCACACACAGAAGUCACCAAAACCUUUUGCACAUUUCCAUUAAUAUAAAAUGAGAGAGAAAACUGAACAGGAUCAGGAAAAGGUGCAUCUUUAUAGCUCAGUGUUUAGAUUAGAUUGUGUGAUUUUUUUAUUAUUUUUUGGGGGGCUCUUUUUCUUGUGGAAGUAGUAUUGUUUCCUUAUUGGUUUUGUUCUGUUUUGAGCCACUUUGUCAAAACCUACUCUCAAAAGUCUCUUUAUAUAGAUUUGAUUUUUCACUUCUUGCUCUGCCUUUCAAAAUGGUAGUCCAGAAUACUUACUGACAGAGCCCAGGUGACCUGAUUUAAGACUAGUCUGUUGUAGUGCCAGACAUAGCUUAGAGAUUAUUUUUUUCCCCUAGCCCUGAUCCUACUCCUGGAAGAAGCUGUAAUUCUUUCAUUCUGGAAGUACCUUUAAUAUUAAUAGACUGACUGUGGGUGUCCCCAUCAAAUUGAUUUACCCAGUUUUUAACAAGAAGGGAGUGAUCAAUAGCCUGCAUGAAGGUACCGUAUUGCACCAGCAGCCUGGUGAGAAGAUGUUAGACCUCAGAAGAGUUAUGUUGUGUUACCUCAUUUGGUGACAGCAAGUCAGUAGGCUGGGAGUCAGCACUGAUUCUAAAAUCAGUCAUAUUUUUCAUCUCAGGGGAGUAUAUUUGGAAAAUACAGAGUACACUGCACAGACUUAAAUUACUAGGAAAAAAAUGUGACUGCCAGACAAUUUAUCCCUCAAAUCCAGUAGAUGAAGAACAAAAUUUUGGUUCUAGGGCAAGUUUACACUUGAAACCACCCUUACUACUCCACAGAAGCUGUAUGGCUGGGCUGGCUCCCAAGCAGUUUUAAGUGAUCUCCGUGAUGCAUCUCUGGAGAAGGGCAUGUAUUGCAUUUCUGGCUGGUGUCCUUACACACAGAGCCACAUUUGUAAAAUGCUUAGAAACCAUAUGGCCAUUAUUGCAGCAGCUUAGAACAAAGAAAUAAGCCCUGAGCGUCUACACCUGAGUGCAGAAAGAGAGCCACUGCCUUUGUUGUGAGUUGUGAAUACUGUCUGUUAUCUUGGCCUUUUGAGGUUUUGCAACAGGGCCCUUAAGCAGCAUGAGCGAACUAGGCUCCUCUCAAGGAUUGGUGGAGAAGGGGAAAAUGAAGGAGAGAGUGCCACGGAAGAGGAUGCAGUUGUAACAAAAGAUCAGAUUUAAAGCCAUUUGAUUCUAGAAGGUUUAAGUCUGCCUAAGUCAAGAUCAAGUGUGGAAUAUAAAACCAUCAUCCUUAAAGAGAAUGAGAAAGUGUAAGUGAUGAUAAUGAGCCAGCUGGGGAUAAUGAUGGAUGCCAGGAUAAAGGAUGAAUGCAGAUAAGAAUCAAGAUUUAUUUUUCUCUUGGAGACUACUCUUGAUGCGCAAUUUCUUUAAAACAAUGCAGAAAACAUUUGACAGGGAGUUGUUUUAGCAUAUAUGGAAAAACUAUGACUCAGUAAGUCUUUAAGUUCAGUUUAUACAGCAUAUCAGUCUACAGUAAUCCUUUUCCCCACGGGAGAGGAAAAUAGCUAUCGUCACAGACUUGUGUUGCAGUUAUUACUACCAGACUUAUUGGAAAAAAACUGUAAAUAAUUUUAGUGGUGGUCUUGUAAAAAAUGUAGACCUCUAGAGUUUGAGAUAAUAUUCUUCUAAGUGACAUAAUCCCAAACAUACCUGUUUUUCAAAGUUAAGUUGUUGAUGAAAGCACACAGUUAGUACCCACAGUAUUCCUUUUUUUUUUUUUUUAAACCUCCAGGAACAGAGAAGCUGUCAGAAUGUCAGCUUGCUCAGAACAUGUUCUGGACUCGGCAUUUCUCAACGGGCUGAACAUCAGUGACAACCUUACCUACGAGUGAAAAGGCAUCCUCUUGUAACUUGAAGGAAAACUAUUCUGCUUGAAACCAGGGUAGCUGUAUAAGACAACAGAAGGUCAUUCUCUAAAAGUGAUGUUAGAAUUGCAUUCCAUUCCUGUGUGUUAAAGCCAGUUAGAAGUACCCACGGUCACAGCAGAGACCCUCUACAGUAUCUUGUUCUCUUAGGUUCCAUCCAAGAACAUGUGUGAGAGAGAGUGCUAACAGAGUGGUGUGUUUUCAGUAACUAUUCAUUCUAUUUUAAAAGGAAAUAUAGGAGCAUUAAAAUGUGCAAACAUAUACUUCAAUGUAAAUCCAUUUACUAACAACUUAGAAGCAGUUUGUCUUUCUUGUUAUUAAUCUUGUACUAUCUUUCUGUGUCCCUAGAUGUCACUAUUCUGGAGGCUCAUCCACACGUAACUAAACUGGAUUUUCAAAAAUUUACUAAACCACUUCAGGGUUCUUUUUCUGCUCUACAUUUAAACUAAUAAAUUGUUUAAUUUUUUUGGAAAAA